GACGAACGCUGGCGGCGUGCUUAACACAUGCAAGUCGAACGCUGAAGCGCCCAGCUUGCUGGGUGUGGAUGAGUGGCGAACGGGUGAGUAACACGUGAGUAACCUGCCCCUGACUUCGGGAUAAGCCUGGGAAACUGGGUCUAAUACCGGAUAUGACUACUGGCCGCAUGGUCUGGUGGUGGAAAGGGUUUUACUGGUUGGGGAUGGACUCGCGGCCUAUCAGUUUGUUGGUGGGGUAGUGGCCUACCAAGACGACGACGGGUAGCCGGCCUGAGAGGGCGACCGGCCACACUGGGACUGAGACACGGCCCAGACUCCUACGGGAGGCAGCAGUGGGGAAUAUUGCACAAUGGGGGGAACCCUGAUGCAGCGACGCCGCGUGCGGGAUGACGGCCUUCGGGUUGUAAACCGCUUUCAGUAGGGAAGAAGCGAAAGUGACGGUACCUGCAGAAGAAGUACCGGCUAACUACGUGCCAGCAGCCGCGGUAAUACGUAGGGUACAAGCGUUGUC
rnacentral:rRNA from 1 species